rnacentral:misc_RNA from 1 species
CGCUUACAUCUCAUGGUAGCGAAAGACGAUUCCUAAACCGCUGAAUGAUGGGCAACGAUCUAUAACUAGCUAUAAGGUAAUCGCGACCCUAUCACGCACGAGAGUUGAAAGCAAGUGGAGAGGGCUAACUCGAAAUAGAAUAAGUGAAUAAGUGAGUGAGAUUGGAUUCUAGGCUCGAUUAGAUGUUUGGUAUGCCAGUAGAUAAGUUAUACGAAGGAAGCAAUCUUCUUUCAUGUGAUCUAGUUCCUUCUUAUGUCGAGAUUCGGUUGGUGUGCCCCUUAGUAUUCUCAUAAGUGAUGCGCCUGCUUAUUCGCCCUCUGUCUCUCGUGAUUGUCAGUGAACGUGGACACCGGAGAGCGUUAGAUGGUGGAAACAACUAUCUACCAAUGACGAGAUGACCGAGGUCAAAUUACAUUUACAUUUCAGCGACUCUUUAGAUAUAAAAAAAAUGACGAAUAAUAUAUAAAAUAUGCAUAAAUUCGAUAUACAAAAAAGAAAAAAAAGAC